rnacentral:misc_RNA from 1 species
CAGCGUUUGUUGUUCCAUCGUUGACCGGGAAAAUCGGAGCAAUCGCAGCGACAAGCUACUCCACGUGCGAUUUAUUGAGCGUGUUUCAACACCCUUGCUAGCGGAAUAAAGUGUUGAUUGUUGAUCUAUCGAUUAAGUUGUAGAAAGUGUCCCUAGUGCCCUUAAUAUGAAGACGAAGGGCAUAAAAAAAGUUCCAAAAAAAGGGAAGAAAACUGUACCAAAGACAAAAAAAAAUUUGAGUACAGUUAGCACGAGUGAAUUUUUUGAUCAAGAUUUUGAGAAUGCUGACAGUGAUGACGAAACUACUGAGACUAAAAAAAAUGGAGUCGAGAAAAUUAUAAAGCAACAUGAAGAAGAAGGAGAAGAUUCUGACAGUGGAGAAAGUGAUAUGGAUCCGACUGAACAUAAGAAAUCACUGAUGAAAUUGAAAGAAACAGAUCCUGAGUUUUAUGCAUUUUUGAAACAAAAUGACAAGAAAUUGCUUGAAUUCAAUCUGUCAGAUGAAGAAGACAAAGCGUCUGUUGAUGAAGAAGAUCUGAAACAUACUUUGGAUGACAAUUUGGAGGUGGCAAGCGAUGAGAGUGAUUAUGAAGCAGACGAUGCUGACAAAACAGCUAAAUCUUCUGGUCCUACCAAGGUCACCUUACAGCUACUCAAAAAGUGGCAAGAGGAAAUACAAAAAGACAGUUCUUCGAGAACGAUAAAAUGUGCAGUGGAAGCUUUCCACGCUGCCUUGUUGACAGUGGCAGAUCCGGAUGGACCGAAAAGUCUGCGUUAUCGUGUUGAAGGAAGUUCAGUAUUCAACGGCGUGGUACAAUUAUGCAUAAUGCAACUACCGGAAGCAUUCAAACGGUUUUUGAAACUCGGCCCUGAGAAUCGAUUCGAAGCAUACAAGUCCAAAAGAUUUGUCAAAGUGAAGGGUGUCUUGAAAGCCUAUUUGACCGACUUGAUAAAAAUUCUACAAAAUGUCACAUCGUCCGAUAUUCUAACAGUUUUGUUAAAACACCUGCAUCAAAUGUUACCGUACACACAAUCGUUUUCGUCAUUGAACAAACCGCUAUUGCGAAUAUUGUUGAAACUUUGGUCAACAGGCGAGGAAACUGUCCGGGUUGUUGCCUUUUUGAGUAUUUUGCAAAUUGCAACAAGUCAUCGGGAAUCCGUUCUCGAAACAUUAAUGAAAACGAUGUAUAUCAAGUUCGUAGAGAAUUCAAAAUUCGUCUCGCCGAACACUUUACCAGGAAUCAAUUUUAUGAGACAUUCGCUUGCCGAAAUUUAUCUCCUCGACGACAAUCUUGCGUACAAUCAUUCAUUUUUGUACAUCCGACAAUUGGCCAUUCACCUCAGAAAUGCCAUGACUUUGAAAAAGAAGGAAAAUUUCCAAGCGGUUUAUAACUGGCAGUACAUCAAUUCUCUGAGGUUUUGGUCGGAGCUUAUAACUCAUUCGAAACAACAAUCCAUGUUGCGUUCUCUGUUGUAUCCAUUAGUUCAAAUUAUCACCGGAACGAUAAAAUUGAUACCAACCGCACAAUUUUAUCCCCUGAGAUUCCACUGUUCUCAAAUGUUGAUAAACAUUUCGCGAGAUACGAAUACCUUCAUACCUGUCCUGCCGUAUUUGUUGGAGAUUUUGAAUGCGUACGAUUUCAACAAACGACAUAAAACAGUAACGAUGAAACCAAUAUCGUUUAUUUGUUUGCUGCGAAUGUCGAAGUCCCAGUUACAGGAAAAUGGCUUCAAAGACUCGGUUAUCGAAAAUAUUUAUCAGCUGAUAUUAGAAAACGCUUCUAAAGACAGCAGUACAAUUUACUUUCCCGAUCUUUACGUCCCGUGUAUCAUGCAGCUGAAGGCGUUUUUGAAAAAAUGCAAAGUGGCGAAUUUCUGUCGAAAAAUAAGGCAACUCCUUGAUAAAAUAAACGAAAAUCAUGAGUUUAUCGAGCGUGAGCGCAACAAGAUAAUCGUUGACCUGAAGGACCUCUCGGCGAUCCGUAACUGGGAAAACGGCAUCAAGAGUCAACAAACACCUCUCACUAAGUUCUACGAAUCUUGGUACAAGCUUCACCAAUCUCAGAAAUUGAAGCUCCUCACCCAAAACGAUCAAGACGCGAAUUACCAUCUGCCUGCGCUGCGUAAAUCCAAGAAAAACAAGAGAAAUGACGACGACAGUGAAAAUAGCGAUCUCGAUAUGCCGGUCGAAGUAUUGGACGCGAAAUUGAAGAGAGACGAAGAAAGAAAGAAAAGAAAGAAACAGAAGAAAAUGAAAACUUCCUCGAAGGACGAUGGCGAAGAACUUCCUCGAGAUAACACGGACAUUGUUCGAGAUACCAAAAUCGACGAUUGGGAUUAAGCGCAUUAUGUUUCAAUUUUACUCUUGUAAAUCGAAGGAAAAUUGAAUGAGAAGAAUAUUUGGGAGUGGCGGAAGCGAUUCAGAGAAUUUGGAAGGUAACGCGGUCGAGUUUGUCGUCGUUCGAGUAUCACCGGGUUCAUUGCAUCGGAGCCGAAGCCCGAACGUCCUUGAGAGAUCGAAGCAACGAUUCGUCGAUGGUGCGCGACUUGGAAAUUCGAGUUUUCGGACGAAACUACUAUUCGUUCGGAGCGAGUAAAGAGCGGGAGGGAAAGGGAGAAAAAAAAAGAGAGCGAGAAGCAAAUCUAAGGUGUCGCUGUUUCUGGUGGUCUAUUUUUACCAGCGCGCGCGACCCAAGCAGUCGGGAAGUUAGUAGAGACGACUGAGCCGCUAUUAUAAAGCACACAUCCUCGUGGUUGUAGAGUUAGAGCUAAACGGUGGUAGCACGAAGCGAACUUUUGCCAACAACCAAGCCUGGUACGGGACAAAAUCGUCCGUCACGAAAGAUGUCGAUCACAAAAGUUUGAGCUCGAAUUCUCAAGGGACGAA